AUGGGCGCAGCCUGAUCCAGCCAUACCGCGUGGGUGAAGAAGGCCUUCGGGUUGUAAAGCCCUUUUGUUGGGAAAGAAAUCCAGCNGGCUAAUACCNGGUUGGGAUGACGGUACCCAAAGAAUAAGCACCGGCUAACUUCGUGCCAGCAGCCGCGGUAAUACGAAGGGUGCAAGCGUUACUCGGAAUUACUGGGCGUAAAGCGUGCGUAGGUGGUCGUUUANUCCGUUGUGAAAGCCCUGGGCUCACCUGGGAACUGCAGUGGAUACUGGGCGACUAGAGUGUGGUAGAGGGUAGCGGAAUUCCUGGUGUAGCAGUGAAAUGCGUAGAGAUCAGGAGGAACAUCCAUGGCGAAGGCAGCUACCUGGACCCACACUGACACUGAGGCACGAAAGCGUGGGGAGCAAACAGGAUUAGAUACCCUGGUAGUCCACGCCCUAAACGAUGCGAACUGGAUGUUGGGUGCAAUUUGGCNCNCAUAUCGAAGCUAACCCGUUAAGUUCGC
rnacentral:rRNA from 2 species